rnacentral:snRNA from 1 species
GAUUGCUUUGUCAGAACAUAUCCUAAAAUUGGAACGAUACAGAGAAGAUUAGCAUGGCCCCUGGACAAGGAUGACACACAAAUUCGUGAAACAUUCCAUAUUUUU